rnacentral:rRNA from 1 species
UUCCGAUUAUGGCUCAGAUUGAACGCUGGCGGGAUGUGCUUUACACAUGCAAGUCGAACGGCGGCGCGGACUUCGGUCUGGUAGUGUGGAACAGGUGAGUAAUGUAUCGGAACGUGCUGGUAAUGAGGAUAACUACGCGAAAGCGUAGCUAAUACCGCAUACGCCCUUCGGGGAAAGCGGGGACCUUCCGGGCCUCGCUUUUCUUAGAGCGGCCGAUAUCGGAUUGGCUGGUUGAUUGAGAAUGCCCAGCUUCACCAAGGCGACGAUCCGUAGCUGGUUUGAAGGACGACCAGCCACCACUGGACUGAGACGACUGAACUCUACAGGAGCAACAGUAAAAUUUUGGACGUGAAACCCUGAUCCAGCCAUCCCGCGUGUGCGAUGAAGGCCUUCGGGUUGUGGCGCUUUUGGCGAAAGGAAACGGCGCAGGAUAAUACCCCGUGCAACUGACGGUACCUGCAGAAUAAGCACCGGCUAACUACGUACCAGCAGCCGCGGUAAUACACAAUGGGGAUGCAAGCGUUAAUCGGAAUUACUGGGCGUAAAGCGUGCGCAGGCGGUUCGGAAAGAAAGAUGCUUAGAAUCCCAGAGCUUAACUUUGGAACUGCAUUUUUAACUACCGAGCUAGAGUGUGUCAGGAGGUGGAAUUCCGCGUGUAGCAGUGAAAUGCGUAGAUAUGCGGAGGAGCACCGAUGGCGAAGGCGGCCUCCUGGGAUAACACUGACGCAGCUCUGCUGAAAGUGACGGGGAGCAAACAGGAUUAGAUACCCUGGUAGUCCACGCCCUAAACGAUGUCAACUAGCUGUUGGGGCCUUCGGGCCUUGGUAGCGCAGCUAACGCGUGAAGUUGACCGCCUGGGGAGUACGGUCGCAAGAUUAAACUCGAAAAUUGACGGGACACACAAGCGGUGGAUGAUGUAAGUUAAUUCGAUGCAGCGCGAAAAACCUUACCUACCCUCAACUCAGCUCUGGAAUCACGAAGAGAUUUAGGUGCUCUUGAGAACGGAACACAGGUGCUACUUGGCUGUAGUAGUGGCUCAGUGUCAGUGAGAUGUUGGGUUGAUCCUGCCAGAGCGCAACCUUGUAUCAUGGUGCUACGAAAGGAGCACUCCUGUGGGACUGCCGGUGACAAACCGGAGGAAGAGGUGGGGAUGACGUCAAGUCCUCAUGGCCCUUAUGGGUAGGGCUUCACACGUCAUACAAUGGUCGGGACAGAGGGUCGCCAACCCAUGAGGAGCCAAUCCAGAAAACCCGAUCGUAGUCCGGAUCACCAGUCUGCAACUCGACUGCGUGAUCGGAAUCGCUAGUAAUCGCGGAUCAGCAUGUCGCGGUGAAUACGUUCCCGGGUCUUGUACACCACCGUCCGCACCUGGGAGUGGGUUUUACCAGAAGUAGUUAGCCUAACCGUAAGGGCGAUUACCACGGUAGGAUUCAUGACUGAAAUUUGAAGUCGUAACAAGGUAA